rfam:Schistosoma haematobium scaffold508_23, whole genome shotgun sequence.
ACCCAGCUGACGAGUCCCAAAUAGGGCUAAACGUGUGUCGUGGAU